GGAUGAUUAUGUCUCUAUUGAUUCUCCUAGUAAAGUCAAAACUUCAUGAGAUUUUGAAGUGCAAGAGACCCAAGGUUUUAAGAUUCUUGGUGAGGGACCUAGUGACCGGAUUGGUUGAUUUUGUGAUGUCCAGUUGAGGUAAAAUUGGUUGGCCUUCCGAGAUAAAUUUUCUAUACCUUGGGCAUGGAGCUUGUUUUAUUGGUGGUGAUUGGAACAUUAUGCUAAUUGAGAGAUUUAUGCUAUGAUUGGUUGGUGACUCAACUUUCUGAAUUUAUUGAGGCCAUAGCUAAUUCUAUCGGAGGUUGGGUUCUUGAGGUUUGUUAACCUUGGGCAUGGUAGGCAUAGAUUCUAUCGUUGAGGUUGCCUAUACUAGGAAGGAUUGUGAUUUGAUGUUGAUCCAUUUGGAGUUUUGGAAUUUCGUGUAUAUUUGGAGACAUUAUUUGUAAUUUGUAUUAUUUGUAAAUGUGU